GUAUCGCAGCUCGAAAAGCCAAGAUGGUCACCGCGCGCUGGGUUUUGCCAGGAACAACUCCCGCGGUCCUUACGGGCAGCGGAGAACAAUACCCCCCAGAAACCCACAGUGCCCAGACACCCUCCCGCCACCCGGAACAGGGCCCGACGAAGGGUACUGGAACUGGUAAGCCCGCAAGCGAUGAAGUAGGCCGUGAGCAGAGUGCUACUCAGGGAGAUAGCCAGGUAGAAGUUGG